CUGCACUGUGUCCUGUUCCAGACAGAGGACUAUUUCAUGCCACCAUUAUGAAGAAGAAAAUGAACAGCAGCAACACAUAUGCUCCAUACGAGUCAGCCCAUUGUGCGCCUCUAACAACGUCACAUACUCUAAUUCCUGCGUGUACUGCUUCGCCAAUAUAGCAUUGAAUCAUACUCUUACAAUUCAACAUGGAGGAAUGUGCAGCAAACCCCCCAAAUCUUGAAUAUUUCUUCAUUUAUCACGAGUGAGACCAUUUGAACUAAGCAUCGUCUUUCCUUCAUAAAGCAGAAUUUAUUGUAUUGUCUUAUUUUUUCUAAUCAAUAAAUAUUACCCUAUGGAAA
ensembl:lncRNA